CACUGGAUUAACCAGGUAAGACCCCUGGUAGACUACCAGGUAGAUAGGCCGGGAGUGUAAGCUCAGCAAUGAGUUUAGCGGACCGGUACUAAUCGGUCGAGGGCUUGAUCUG
rnacentral:rRNA from 1 species